UUCGCUUUGUUUCCGCUCAGCUGGGGGUAGUAGUGUGGCGUGUUAACCUGAAUGGUGCUAUCUUUGCUUCUCCCACAGUGAUUCCAGUGCUGAAACGCACAGAAAGCUUACCCGAUGGUGCUCAUUC
rnacentral:RNase_MRP_RNA from 1 species